ACAUUUCUUUUAGAUUUUUUUAAAAGUAAAGUCUGCCCACUGUUUUUAAUAAAGGGCCGCGGUAUUUUGACCGUGCAAAGGUAGCAUAAUCAUUAGUCUCUUAAUUGGGGAAUGGAAUGAAUGGCUUAAUGAUUUUUUUCUUUUAUUUAUAAUAUUUUUAAAAUUUUGAUUUUAAGUGAAAAUACUUAAAUUUUUUAGUAAGACGAUAAGACCCUAUAGAAUUUUAUUUCUUUAUUUUAUUUAAAUAAACUUAGAAGUUUAAAUGGGGCAUUUAUUGAAUAUAUGUAAUUUCUAUAAAAUAUAUUAAAAAAUAUCUUUAUUUUUAGAUUAUUAAAAAAUUACCUUAGGGAUAACAGCGUAAUAAUUUUUGAGAGUUCAUAUCGACAAAAUAGUUUGCGACCUCGAUGUUGAAUUAAAAUGCCUCUAUAAAGCAGCUUUUAUAAAAGGUAGUCUGUUCGACUAUAAAAUUUUUACAUGAUUUGAGU
rnacentral:rRNA from 1 species